UAACGACUCUCGGCAACGGAUAUCUCGGCUCUCGCAUCGAUGAAGAACGUAGCGAACUGCGAUACUUGGUGUGAAUUGCAGAAUCCCGUGAACCAUCGAGUCUUUGAACGCAAGUUGCGCCCGAAGCCGUUUGGCCGAGGGCACGUUUGCCUGGGUGUCACA
rnacentral:rRNA from 3 species